CAUUUUCUUAUAUUUGUUGUCUGACCAAACUAACAAUUUUUUGGACAUAGAUUAGAUUAAAUUCAAAUAUGAUACACCAACCCUUAACUAUAUGAUCAAACAAUUGACCAAUAUUUUUAUGGGAUACUUUGACAUUUUUUUAUUCUCAAAAUUUUUAGAGCAAGAAAAUGGUGUCUCAGUACAAAGACAAAAAAAACUUUAAUUUGGGAACUCUCAAGUUUAAGAUAUGUGUUAUUUGUACAUACAAAAUACAAUACAUUUCACAAAAUAUACUCUUGGUCUAAUUUGUUUUUUAUCUGAAAACUGAUAGAAAAUUUGUUUUUCAUCGGAAGUGAUAGAAAAUAAUUACUAAAAAAUCUAAAUUGAAUUCAAAUCACAUAUUUAUACUGUGUUGGAUGUCAGUUAACGUCAAUCCCUUUAUAUAAUGGGAGUCAUGAUUGAGAAUUUUCAGCCGAACCUUGACUAAUCUUUUCCUGCAUAAAAAAGUGAGGAUAUUAAGUUUUCUUCAAAUUGUCUUAAAAAAAGUUGUCUUUCAAUUUUUUUUUUAUAUAUAUGUAGUAUACUAAUAUCUCAAUUUUUUAAUAUUAAAUUCGUCAUUAUUUGAUUGCUUGUAAGUUGAUGUAUUUUUGUAUUUAUCAUAUAUCAUAUAUAGUAUAAUUUUGCUUCUCCCGUUGGUGGAGGGACUUGGCGAGAUCUUGAUGAUUGUGUGGAAGGCAAAGUUUGGUUGGAAGAAGUCUUAGAGCGUAAGGUUGGGGAUGGUGCUAAUACGCGGUUUUGGAGCGACAAUUGGAUAUGAAUGGACCAAAAGAAAGGCACACGAAGGCCCAAUGAAAAGAAAGAAGCUUGUCCAAGUUGAAAGGAAAGAGGAAUACAGCUAGCUAUGAGAGAUUGUUUGGCGGUCUCAGAGAUUGAAAAAAAGGAGAGUUAUUGAUUUUGUCUAUCUUGCUUCAAGUUGCAACACAAUUGGAACACAAGUGCUGAAGGCGGUGAUGAGAAGAAGAGAUCAGGACUUACUGACGAAGGAAUUAAAAUGGAAACAGAGGCGGCAUAACAAAGCUAUAAAUAGGAAACGUUAUUUUUCUGUUUGAACACACGGCUGAGAGUGGAAAAUUGGAGAAGCUUUGGAUUGAAGAUUGGAACUUUGGAGCAAAAUAUUUUCUUCAUUCUAGGGUUAUUUCUUACUCUUAAUUUCAUGAAUUUAAUUUCUAUUUUGGUGUUCUUUUUGAUUAUGGAUAGCUAAAUACUAUUCUAGGGUUUAUGGUGAAUCUUGCAAUUAAAAUUCCUUUUGCUAUGUCUUAGCUUAUAUGUUCUAGUUUCUAAUUUAAAUUUCGAUAUUUUGUUCAA